AGCAGUAUAGCUCAGUGGUAGAGUGCUUGCCUAGCAUGCUAGAGGCCCUGGGUUCCAUCCCCAGCUCUGCAA